rnacentral:tRNA from 1 species
CGGCGUGUGGUGCAGCCUGGUGGUGCACCUCGUUCGGGACAAGGGGGUCGCUAGUUCGAAUUUUGCCACUCCGACCA